GACGAACGCUGGCGGCGCGCCUAACACAUGCAAGUCGAACGAGCGAGAGAGAGCUUGCUUUCUCAAGCGAGUGGCGAACGGGUGAGUAACGCGUGAGGAACCUGCCUCAAAGAGGGGGACAACAGUUGGAAACGACUGCUAAUACCGCAUAAGCCCACGGUGCCGCAUGGCACAGAGGGAAAAGGAGCAAUCCGCUUUGAGAUGGCCUCGCGUCCGAUUAGCUAGUUGGUGAGGUAACGGCCCACCAAGGCGACGAUCGGUAGCCGGACUGAGAGGUUGAACGGCCACAUUGGGACUGAGACACGGCCCAGACUCCUACGGGAGGCAGCAGUGGGGAAUAUUGCACAAUGGGGGAAACCCUGAUGCAGCGACGCCGCGUGGAGGAAGAAGGUCUUCGGAUUGUAAACUCCUGUUGUUGAGGAAGAUAAUGACGGUACUCAACAAGGAAGUGACGGCUAACUA
rnacentral:rRNA from 1 species